CUACCAGCAGAAGGUGGGCAGGUGGGGGCUGAUGAGGGGAGAGCUUCCCACCCCCACCUUCAGCCAGCCAGCAGCUGGGCUGCUAUGGAGCACUCAUCCUGUGGCACUUUGUGCAGCCUGGAGAGGAGAUGGGGUUAGGAGAAUGUGUGCUGUACUGCCUUGGUCCAUAGAGGCUUCUGGAGAGUUCAGCAGAGCACAGCAUGAGUGGGAAAAUGUGACUCACAUCACAGAGAUGGUGAAGCAACAGAAUUCCUGAGAGGAGCACUGCAAACUGGAUAGACUUUGUUGUGAUGGCUGUGAGGAGCUUGCUGGUGGAUCGCCUCAUUGUAAAGAUUUGGAGUCUUCAAGAAUGCUUUUUCUUCAGUAAUUAUCCCAUAGAGAACUUCACUGCCAAGUAGAAGAGGCCCUUUCUCUCAGAAGAUGGGAUGAAUGUAUUUCUGCACUCAGCCACUCUGAAAACCCAUUUCCAAGGGAUGCGUCCUCUCUGAACUUGGCAGGAAUGCGCUUGACAUUAAUUGUAGGACCAGGCAGCACCGCUUCUGACCGCUCGUGAGGGAACAGCUGAGAAAUUUCAUUCUCAACACUGGUGCCUUUGGCUCUGGUUGGAAUGGCACAUUACUCACAAGACGCAGUGACACAUACAACGUGGAGAGUUAUGUCCUUCCUGUGGAUCAUUUACACACGCUUACGUUUAUACAUUUUUACUUUCCAGUGGUGUUAAUAUGGCACCCCCUGGAGGAAGUAUGUUUGAAAACACUUGAAGGAAGAAAAUAUUAAUUAAAAUCCCCUUUGAAACCAAUGCUUUAAACAGACUGUAAAUUUUCCCAGUUAUCUAUGGAGAGGGGCCUUUGCAGAAACAUUCGUGUCAUUUUUAUCUGUAGGCAGUCUUUCAUCCUGAGAUGACACAUGCAAUUUUUUUCCUCCUUAGACUAAACGUGUCAGUCUAAGACUCUUACUGUGUAAGUGCUGGAGAAUUAAGCAGUCAAAAAGGAAACCCAGAAUGGCAUCCAUAAAUGGCAACUGCCAAAGAGUCAGCUUGAGCCUGCCACAGUCGCUUUCUGUGUUGGACAGAAAUGACCACAUCCUGCUCAUUUUAGAAUUAGACUUAGAUGUUCAGGAAUUAAAAAAUGCCAAAGGUGACUGUUUUAUUUGUUUUGCCCCUCCAGUCUUUAUUUAAAAAAAAAAGCAAAACAAAAAUAUGUAUUUACACGGUUUUAAAUGCAAAUAGGAUUUAAACAAAACAAUUGGGUGUUAGUGAUUUCUAAAAGCAAAAAAAUAAACAAGGUUAAUUAUUAUUAUUUCGCUGACUUCAAUAAAUACCUGAUUACGUUUACAAACAACUUCAAAAGGAAGCUGUGAAUGCCAUAUAUGAGUGCAGCAUCCAGUCAAGCUAAGCUGUGAAGUGUGAACAACAAUUGCAUUAUUUCAGUCUGUUUGCCAGCUGGGCAUACAACAGUCUCCUUGGUGCUCCUUCUGCCCCAGUAACAAAGCUCAGUCAGGGUUCCUUCUGGGAGGAACUUCUUCCAGGAAAACGUGGUGCUUCAAUUGCUCCUGCGUGCGUGAUUUUGGUGUGUGGUUUUACUUUGUUUCCCUGGAAAGUCUUUUGCAUUUCCUAGGGAGUCUGCUGUCUGCGCGAUCCAGAGCCUGAAAAUUAAUUCCACGUAGAACGAUUUGGAUUGUAGA